rnacentral:rRNA from 1 species
CAGUCGCCGCGGGAAUACGUAGGGUGCGAGCGUUAAUCGGAAUUACUGGGCGUAAAGCGUGCGCAGGCGGUUCGUUAAGACAGAUGUGAAAUCCCCGGGCUUAACCUGGGAACUGCAUUUGUGACUGGCGAGCUAGAGUAUGGCAGAGGGGGGUAGAAUUCCACGUGUAGCAGUGAAAUGCGUAGAGAUGUGGAGGAAUACCGAUGGCGAAGGCAGCCCCCUGGGCCAAUACUGACGCUCAUGCACGAAAGCGUGGGGAGCAAACAGGAUUAGAUACCCCUGUAGUCCCUGUCUCUUAUAA